rnacentral:rRNA from 1 species
UACGUAGGGUGCAAGCGUUGUCCGGAAUUAUUGGGCGUAAAGAGCUCGUAGGCGGUCUGUCACGUCGGCUGUGAAAACCCGGGGCUCAACCCCGGGCCUGCAGUCGAUACGGGCAGACUAGAGUGUGGUAGGGGAGACUGGAAUUCCUGGUGUAGCGGUGAAAUGCGCAGAUAUCAGGAGGAACACCGGUGGCGAAGGCGGGUCUCUGGGCCGUAACUGACGCUGAGGAGCGAAAGCGUGGGGAGCGAACAGG